rnacentral:misc_RNA from 1 species
UUGUGUUGGGCUGUAAAACUGAAUCAAUAGAUUUCAUUUUCAAUUUCAGCAUUUAUGAGAAAUAAAACUAAAAAACAAAGUAAACUAUGAAGAACAUAUCUCAAUUGCAUCACAUUGUCAUCUCUCUCUAACAAAUUCUGUACUUGAAUUAGUGAUUGCAGUAGCUAAGUUUAGAUACUUAAAGGUGAACCCAACAACAUGAAUUAUAACAACAAAACACUCAUUUAAACAUCCAAACACA